rnacentral:misc_RNA from 1 species
GAGAGAGAGAGAGAGAGAGGGAGAAGUAAAAUGAAAAGGAAAGGCCCCAAUCUGCUUUUUUCCAUCCAAGUCUCCCCCAUAUCAGUGCCAUUGGGUAUGUUUGGCAUUGCUAUUGCACAUAGCUACCAAAUUUGUAUGACAAGAACUUGAGUUAAAGCAAUAAUAGCUAUUUGCAAAAGUUUAUCAAUGCAAUUCAUAAGCGAUAAUAGCAAUUUGCAAAAGCUUCAGAUAUAUAUUUUUUUUCAAAAUCAGCUUUCAACAUAUGACAAUCAAAUUGUAAAAAUUGUUCGUCUAUUAUCAAAAGAGAAUUCUUUCUAAAGCUGCGAUUAGCAACAACAAUAACAAACAUGCUCACAGAAUAUGAGAAUCAUUUCAACCGGAUGUGAGAGGGUCCAUAACUAUGCCAAAACAACUCGUCUCCUCAUCCAAAUUAUAUUCCAGAUUAUCCUCCCACCUCCAAUGCACAUAAGCAAUGAGACAAGUCCUAUAGUCACCAGUGCAUCAAGCAAGUCAUGGAAACAAAUAAUGCAUACGCCAGCUUUAUUUCAAGCAAUAUGUGUUUCACUCACUUUUUCAUAGAAUGAAAGCAUUGCCAAAGGAGGGAUAGAUUCAACAAACUAGAUUAAUUUUACAAACAAGUUGGGAUUCGAAAUAGUUAAAUAUGGAUCAAGAAAGGAACUUCACUUACAUGCCUUGCUUGUUAGUGGUCCUAAUUGUUUUAGGAAUUAAUUUCAACAGAACCAGCCAAUGUCAACAUGUAAAUAGAGCAUUAAAUGAAGAUUAUGCUUAUUAGGUAAGAAGUAUUCCAUCAAAUAAUAUCUCAAAGAGGAUAAAGAUAGAAGAGUACCGAAGACAGUAGUUUCAUACUUGCAGUAAUCUUUGCAUUUGAAUCCUUAAUCAGCACAUCCAUCUUUGAUAAAUUAGCCAAAUUCGAAGGAAAUCUCUCCAAUAUAAAUCUAGCAGCAAAGAUUCCUGGGCUUCCAGAUCCAAACCACUCGAAAUUCCAUCGACCUUCCAAAAAUGGCGAUGUAGUUGGUCUAGGCGUUGGAUUGAGCCGCUCAAGACCAGUUAUCCUCUCAUUCACAUCAAUCCUCUGCAAAUCUGUCGUCUUCCCCGUCACUAGAGCUUCAAAACCCCCAGAGUCUUUAAAAGCGAGAAGCAACGAUUCCUUAGCAGAGAGCCGCUCCAUCUCCUUGGCAUAGGCGGCCGGAGCUCCCUGUACUGCCUGCUGAACCAUCGCUGUGACGGCUAUUUUCCGGUUGCUCCGGCGAGUCUCUGGCAGGCGGGGGAAGGAGACGAGACAAGCGGUGGCAUGAAUUGAAGUGAAAGACGAUGAAUAGCGGGAACCAAUCGCAGAAUUUGCAGGAAGUGAACUGUGCAUCGCAGCCAUUCCAGAACCGAGAGAUAUUUUUCAGUUGUGAAAUAAAAUGGGCAUAAUCACAUUUCCAUUUUCAGAUUCAAGCCAAAACCCA